AAGACUAUAGACCUGCGGAGUACCUGCGGAGGGAUCAUUAAUGAAAAAAUGGCGGCCCAUAAUCUGGGUUUGUUCAUCAGUUCUAUUGUGAUACUAUUGAAGCAUAAUAUCAGGGCUUAAAGAUGGGGUUUUUAAAAGUGAGUUUUUUGGCUUGCUUUUAAGAAAACCGGCCCUGAUUUAUUUUAAAUAAGCCAAUUUUGACCUUUUUGACUGAAAAAAUUGAAUUUAAUAAUUCAAAAA
rnacentral:misc_RNA from 1 species